AUUGAACGCUGGCGGCAGGCUUAACACAUGCAAGUCGAGCGAGUGGCGGACGGGUGAGUAAUGUCUGGGAAACUGCCUGAUGGAGGGGGAUAACUAAUGGAAACGGUAGCUAAUACCGCAUACCAUCAGAUGUGCCCAGAUGGGAUUUGCUAGUAGGUGGGGUAAUGGCUCACCUAGGAGACGAUCCCUAUCUGGUCUGAGCGGAUGACCAGCCACACUGGAACUGAGACACGGUCCAGACUCCGACGGGAGUCAGCGGGGGGGAAUAUUGCACAAUGGUCGCAAGCCUGAUGCAGCCAUGCGGCGUGUGUGAAGAAGGCCUUCGGUUUGUAAAGCACUUUCAGCGAGGAGGCGUUACUCGCAGAAGAAGCACCGGCUAACUCCGUGCCAGCAGCCGCGGUAAUUC
rnacentral:rRNA from 1 species